UACGUAGGGUGCGAGCGUUGUCCGGAAUUAUUGGGCGUAAAGGGCUCGUAGGCGGUUUGUCACGUCGGGAGUGAAAACUCAGGGCUCAACCCUGAGCCUGCUUCCGAUACGGGCAGACUAGAGGUAUGCAGGGGAGAACGGAAUUCCUGGUGUAGCGGUGAAAUGCGCAGAUAUCAGGAGGAACACCGGUGGCGAAGGCGGGUCUCUGGGCCGUAACUGACGCUGAGGAGCGAAAGCGUGGGGAGCGAACAGG
rnacentral:rRNA from 1 species